AGUGGCGAACGGGUGAGUAACGCGUGGAUGAUCUACCUACGAGAUGGGGAUAACUAUUAGAAAUAGUAGCUAAUACCGAAUAAAGUCAAUUAAUUUGUUAAUUGAUGAAAGGAAGCCUUUAAAGCUUCGCUUGUAGAUGAGUCUGCGUCUUAUUAGCUAGUUGGUAGGGUAAAUGCCUACCAAGGCGAUGAUAAGUAACCGGCCUGAGAGGGUGAACGGUCACACUGGAACUGAGAUACGGUCCAGACUCCUACGGGAGGCAGCAGCUAAGAAUCUUCCGCAAUGGGCGAAAGCCUGACGGAGCGACACUGCGUGAAUGAAGAAGGUCGAAAGAUUGUAAAAUUCUUUUAUAAAUGAGGAAUAAGCUUUGUAGGAAAUGACAAAGUGAUGACGUUAAUUUAUGAAUAAGCCCCGGCUAAUUACGUGCCAGCAGCCGCGGUAAUACGUAAGGGGCGAGCGUUGUUCGGGAUUAUUGGGCGUAAAGGGUGAGUAGGCGGAUAUAUAAGUCUAUGCGUAAAAUACCACAGCUCAACUGUGGAACUAUGUUGGAAACUAUAUGUCUAGAGUCUGAUA
rnacentral:rRNA from 1 species